GACGUGCUAAUCUGCGAUAAGCGUCGGUGAGGUGAUAUGAACCGUUAUAACCGGCGAUUUCCGAAUGGGGAAACCCAGUGUGUUUCGACACACUAUCAUUAACUGAAUCCAUAGGUUAAUGAGGCGAACCGGGGGAACUGAAACAUCUAAGUACCCCGAGGAAAAGAAAUCAACCGAGAUUCCCCCAGUAGCGGCGAGCGAACGGGGAGGAGCCCAGAGCCUGAAUCAGUGUGUGUGUUAGUGGAAGCGUCUGGAAAGGCGCGCGAUACAGGGUGACAGCCCCGUACACAAAAAUGCACAUAUUGUGAGCUCGAUGAGUAGGGCGGGACACGUGGUAUCCUGUCUGAAUAUGGGGGGACCAUCCUCCAAGGCUAAAUACUCCUGACUGACCGAUAGUGAACCAGUACCGUGAGGGAAAGGCGAAAAGAACCCCGGCGAGGGGAGUGAAAAAGAACCUGAAACCGUGUACGUACAAGCAGUGGGA
rnacentral:rRNA from 1 species